UAAAAAAAGAAAUCAUGAAAUUACCCAGCCAGUUUCCCGAUGUGGCUACAGAAGCGCAUUUACUGCGAUAACGAAUGGGAAAAGUUUCACCCACAAUUACCCAGCCCAUUGGGCCCCAAGAACAGCAGUAAGAGAAAAGAAACAAACAAGAAAACACAAUCAUUACAGAUCCUGCUCUGUGAUCACUAGUACCAUUCUUAUAUAUGAGCUUUCGAUCGCCUACAGCGGCAUAUAUAAAGAAGCAUAUCGAUUGGAAAGCAGCUCCAAAAAUUAGUGGGUUACGACGUCCUAAGUUAUCAAUUGUGUAUAAAGCACCAAACGUUGUACCAAAAUUAAUAGCACCUAAAAUAACGGCUGGUAAGAAUAUAU